rnacentral:rRNA from 1 species
AUUGAACGCUGGCGGCAUGCCUUACACAUGCAAGUCGAACGGCAGCACGGGAGCAAUCCUGGUGGCGAGUGGCGAACGGGCGAGUAAUACAUCGGAACGUACCCAGGGGUGGGGGAUAGCUCGGCGAAAGCCGGAUUAAUACCGCAUACGACCUACGGGUGAAAGUGGGGGAUCGCAAGACCUUACGCCAUAGGAGCGGCCGAUGUCAGAUUAGGUUGUUGGUGGGGUAAAGGCCUACCAAGCCGACGAUCUGUAGCUGGUCUGAGAGGACGACCAGCCACACUGGGACUGAGACACGGCCCAGACUCCUACGGGAGGCAGCAGUGGGGAAUUUUGGACAAUGGGCGCAAGCCUGUUCCAGCCAUGCCGCGUGCGGGAAGAAGGCCUUCGGGUUGUAAACCGCUUUUGUCAGGGAAGAAACGGUUCGCACUAAUACUGCGAGCUAAUGACGGUACCUGAAGAAUAAGCACCGGCUAACUACGUGCCAGCCGCCGCAGUAACAC